GCAAUCAGAGAGACAAAGAAGAAGAAAAGCAAAAGCCUAAUAUCUUGAUAUCAUGGUGCUAAAUCUGAGUUCUGUAGUUGCGCAAUUAACUCGCAGAGGGAGAUCAGCUCUGUCUCGUCGCAAUUUCAGUUCAGCCCCUGUUAGCGAUGAGUCGAUAAGUCAAGGAGAGCUCUUCAUAUAUAAUUGUUUAUCAGCUUAUGUGGCAAUCAAACUAGAUCGUUAUGGACGUGAAGAGCAUGCAUCGAAAUUUAAAGGGAAAGGGGACGAAGAGGUAAAAACAAAAUCAAGUGACGAUUGCUAAUUAUCCUCUAUUCUAGUCAGUUUAACUAAGACAUAAUAAUUAUGUUU